CUGCACUGUGUAUAUGAUGUGGGUUGCCAACAAUAUUGGCAUUCUGCUGUCAAUUCAGUGCAACAUAAACCUCAGUUUGCAGAAGGGCUGAACCGAACAGUUGGUUUUUUUUCCCUUUCGACGGCUGAGCGAAGGC